UACGGAGGGGGCUAGCGUUGUUCGGAAUUACUGGGCGUAAAGCGCGCGUAGGCGGACCUGCAAGUCGGGGGGUGAAAGGCCCGAGGCUCAACCUCGGAACUGCCUUCGAUACUGCGGGUCUCGAGUCCGGGAGAGGUGAGUGGAAUUCCUAGUGUAGAGGUGAAAUUCGUAGAUAUUAGGAAGAACACCAGUGGCGAAGGCGGCUCACUGGUCCGGUACUGACGCUGAGGUGCGAAAGCGUGGGGAGCAAACAGGG
rnacentral:rRNA from 1 species